GACGAACGCUGGCGGCGUGCCUAACACAUGCAAGUCGAACGAGGUCCAUCGUGUGGCAACACACGUGAAGACCUAGUGGCGAACGGGUGAGUAACACGUGAGGAACCUGCCCCGAAGACCGGGAUAACUCUUCGAAAGGAGAGCUAAUACCGGAUACCCCCACCUGACCGCAUGGUCGGGUGAGGAAAUGGAUUCCGCUUCGGGAGGGCCUCGCGGCCUAUCAGCUUGUUGGUGGGGUAACGGCCCACCAAGGCAUCGACGGGUAGCUGGUCUGAGAGGACGAUCAGCCACACUGGGACUGAGACACGGCCCAGACUCCUACGGGAGGCAGCAGUGGGGAAUCUUGCGCAAUGGGCGAAAGCCUGACGCAGCAACGCCGCGUGGGGGAUGAAGGCUUUCGGGUUGUAAACCCCUUUCAGCAGGGACGAAUCAAGACGGUACCCGCAGAAGAAGCCCCGGCUAACUACGUGCCAGCCGCCGCGGUAAAAC
rnacentral:rRNA from 1 species